CCAGGGAUACUUAGUACGGCGAGUGAGCGGUAAAAGCUCAAAUUUGAAAUCUGGUACUUUCAGUGCCCGAGUUGUAAUUUGUAGAAUUUGUCUUUGAUUAGGUCCUUGUCUAUGUUCCUUGGAACAGGACGUCAUAGAGGGUGAGAAUCCCGUUUGGCGAGGAUACCUUUUCUCUGUAAGACUUUUUCGAAGAGUCGAGUUGUUUGGGAAUGCAGCUCAAAGUGGGUGGUAAAUUCCAUCUAAAGCUAAAUAUUGGCGAGAGACCGAUAGCGAACAAGUACAGUGAUGGAAAGAUGAAAAGAACUUUGAAAAGAGAGUGAAAAAGUACGUGAAAUUGUUGAAAGGGAAGGGCAUUUGAUCAGACAUGGUGUUUUUUGCAUGCACUCGCCUCUCGUGGGCUUGGGCCUCUCAAAAAUUUCACUGGGCCAACAUCAAUUCUGGCAGCAGGAUAAAUCAUUAAGAAUGUAGCUACUUCGGUAGUGUUAUAGCUUUUUGGAAUACUGUUAGCCGGGAUUGAGGACUGCGCUUCGGCAAGGAUGUUGGCAUAAUGGUUAAAUGCCGCCCGUCUUGACCCCCGGAACCA
rnacentral:rRNA from 1 species